GACGCCGACUUGGACUCGCAGGCCCCGUCGCUCCCUGUCCCUGGCCCCCCGGAGACCUCCCACAAACACUACCCUUGCCCGUUUUUCGCCGCCGUGGGCAGCAGAAUCGUUGCCGUGCGCUACACCAGCGACGAGGAGCCCGGCCCCGCGCUGCUCUACGACACGGCGACUGGAGGCCUCGCCACCGGCCCUUGCUUCCGUGCCAAGGCAGGGUACGUCUACGACUUUGUGCCCGCCUACGACAGGCUGUACGCGUUGGGUCCACGCGCCUGCCGCUGCCGGUGAAGAUGAAGGCAGCCAAGGAGCACGGCCGCCGCCGGUGUGGAAGCUCGCCAAGGAGGAGCUGGUGUGCGAGGACACGGACAGGACCAGGUCCGCCGCGCUCGCGCGCAUCGUCGAGCAUCGGUCGCGGAAAGGCGUGGCAGCGGAUGUCAAGGACUCGCACUACCUGUUUUACAUGACGACGUUUAGGCUCUGCUACGACAAGGAUGGGGGACUGCGAGCCAAGACGCUCCGGGCUUGCUCUUACAUGAUGCCCUGGGAAUCGAAUUCUUUCAAUUGGCGUGUGUUUGGGAUAUGAUAUGCUCGCCUUGAAGCUUCUCUACGUGAAAUGGUGAUAUUCAUCCUACAAGCUAGCUUGCUUUGUGCGGUUCUGGUCACGUGAGGAGGACUCGAUUGUUGCUUGUGCCCAUCAUCAAAUGCUGGUUGUCUCGCAUCAUUUCACGGGGGGUACCGAGAAGUUGACCAAACAAAGGGACAGAGGCCAUGGCAUCCUCAUGUCUCUUGGUGUAGGCCAACAACUUACCCUGAUCCCGUGGAUUGGCUGUCCACAGAAACCACCGAAUUCGGAGAAGCGACAUUUAUUAAAAAAACAAUUACACAAAAAAAUGCAUACGAAAGAGCCCCGACGCUGUGCGCGCCGUUGACACCUCUCUGAGCCCGCCGUCGCCGGCAUGGACGAGGCGCGCUCCUCCGCCGCCUCCUCGUCGUCGUCGCCGGAAGCCGCGCGUGGUUCUUCCUACCUGGCCAUCUUCCACAACUUCCCGCUCGUCGCCGCCCUGCUUGGCUUCGCCAUCACGCAGACCAUCAAGUUCUUCUUCACGCGGACGAUUCAGUUCAGCAGAUGGUGCUUGAUCAUGGUUCAGUAUCAUUUGGUAGAUUUGCUGCAGGUCAAAAAGAGCAGCAGCAGGUCUUACCACUGCAGGCAAUGGGUUGCAGAAUAAAAGGAAGCAGCUUAGCACAUGGCGGCAUCAGACAAAAAUAACCAGAAUUGAGGAUUCAUGCGCAUAUCUGCACCCACAAGUGCAAGAAGUAGCUAUUUUUUUCUAGAAUACACCGAAGCGGGUGUAUCAUCCAUUAAACAAGUGCAUAAGUAGCUAUGAAACAUUCGUCCUUAGAAAGUCGCUAAGGCACCAAGGAUUUCAAAUGGGAAGAACACAAUGAAGGCUGAGCUUGUCUGCUGCCGUGACGUCGCCAUCUUCUCUCCUCCGUGCCGCUUGUCCUCUGCCUCUGGUCUUCUGGGGAUCGGAUAAGAAGCUGGCACAAAGGAUCGGGCCACAGAUUCAUGGCGCUCUCAUGAUUCGCUGUUAUAUGGUUUAUUUAUCCGUAUUUUGGUGAAUCUGUGAAGGGCGGAUUUAUUCGGAUUUCGACGACAGUAAGAAGCAGCGUUGUUUUCCAGGCAAUCAUAAAUUAUUUUGAAGGGAGGUAGUCCUAACUAAUCUUAAUGUAAAGAGAUAGAUGUUGCCACAUGCUCUUGAACCUUGACCUAAACCACAUAUUUCUGUGUUACUUUCUUCAAAUUGACCAAAUAUUCUACUUUGGGCCAGACACAUGCUCUUUAAACUGACUAUAUUAGUUUUGUUUGUUGGCGUCACCAUCCCUUGCAGGUAGUAUUCACUUAUCACAUCAUUGUGAAUUUGAAGCUUGUCAUGUUUUUUAUGAUUAUCGAUGGACUUUUAUAGUUGACAUGAAUGUUACUAUUUGGCAGUUAUUGGAGAAGACAACUGGCGAUUGCGGAAGUGGCUCGACGAGUAGAUAUUCUCUGCCAUCAUAUCUAUUGGAGUUAUCGGCUAUUAGAGGGAUCAAGCCAUUUUAAAGAAUUGCAUGACAUUAUUGAAGAUGCAAAAGGGAAACUGGAAAGUGAGGUCGGUCCACUUGAUGGAAUGUCGGCAAAGAUGGCUCAUGGUAUGGUAAGCAGGUUAUGUGGUGGUAGUGAUGUGCAGAAACUUUGCACUUUAGCGAUUCAGAAAGCUGAUGAGUGGUUAAGUUAUCCAGCCUUGCAUCUUCGAGAUUCCUUGCCUGCUGAGUGCAGAUUCAGAUUCGUAGACAUUACUACAUCUUCUUCUCUUGUUAUCAUCUUAAAAGAAACUACAUUAGCAUUGUCUGACACCAUCAAAGAAACUCCUUGGCAUCAUGUGCAUAAUGUCAGGAUUUCCAUUACUUAUACCUCAAGAGCUUGAGCCUCAGGCAUUGCCCGACGGAGAUUUAGUGGUGACUGGCUUAGACAUUAUCCGAGAGAGAGAGAAAGAGAGAAGGUGCUUUAAGGCCAUCAUCGUCAUACCUCUUUUACCGGGUUUUCAGACUGCGGCGAAGUAGGAGAAGAGGAUGAGGAAUUUCGUCAAAAGAUAUUGACAUCGUCAUUGCUGAUGUGGGAAACUCUUAUCAGAUUGCAUUGGCUGGAAGAUCUUACUCACUUCCCCAGAGGCUAGGAGCUAUUCUGGCCAUUACAAGACCUUGGUUGUCAGAAAUCUGUUUUGCCUCCUGCUGUUGUAGAUGGGAGAGAAUGUUAGCAGCAAGAAGAGCUCCCAAAGCUUCAGCCUGAAUCGCCGAGGAGACUGGAGAAGAAAUAGCUUGAAUCUGUGCGAUCCACCUGAUGUGAGGGCCCCGAGAUUCAAUGAAGAUGACUGUAGUGUUUUCUCUGCCGAGAAACGGUGCCCCCAGGUAACCGGCCAUCUGGAGUUCUCCGCCGUUCACCAUCAAUUCUACUGCUUUUGCUCCCAUUGUCAGCCGCCAGGUGCUAAGCCUUGACACACGCUGCUCCGGCCUGUGGGACCUGCGCCGCCCCGACUCCCCAUUGGAACGUCCUGAGGACGCUGCGCCACCCUGAUCGACUCCCCUCCUCCAGUUCUGGACAAGCUGCGCCUCACAGCUAACCACCUCCAACUACAUAGAAGAACAAGCAGAAGUUCCUCAGUAAGAAAGUAAGUAUUGCCCACUCAGAUCCAACCAAGAGUAAGAAGAACCGUGAGGCAGGCACUUCCUCGAAAGGCUAGGGUACGUUCUUUGUCUAUUCCUCACGUGCGGCCCCUGCGAAGGAGAUACAAGAAAAUAAGAAUUCGAAGACUUGGAUAGCAGCUAAUCUUGCAAACAUCUUAUCUGUCUCCCCAACCACUGAAGUGCCGCCUCAGUCUGCUGACCCCUUUGGUCACAAUGUGGUAUCAGUGCAAUUUUAAGGCUCCCCUGUUCCGGCAUCACAGCUUGAGAGUCUGUCCGGUAUCAGUGUAAUAUACAGGAUCCUCUGUUCUGUAAUAUUAGACUUGACUGUAAAAUAUGUUAUCUAUUUCUAAUGAACCAACACAUCUAUGUAACUCAUUUUGUGUU